CAGAGGGUGCAAACGUUGUUCGGAAUUACUGGGCGUAAAGCGCGUGUAGGCGGCUAUGUAAGUCGGGCGUGAAAUCCCAUGGCUCAACCAUGGAAGUGCACCCGAAACUGCGUAGCUAGAGUCCUGGAGAGGAAGGUGGAAUACUUGGUGUAGAGGUGAAAUUCGUAGAUAUCAAGUGGAACACCGGUGGCGAAGGCGGCCUUCUGGACAGUGACUGACGCUGAGACGCGAAAGCGUGGGGAGCAAACAGGAUUAGAUACCCUGGUAGUCCACGCCGUAAACGAUGAGUGCUAGGUGUCACGGGCUUUGACCCUCGUGGUGCCGAAGCUAACGCGUUAAGCACUCCGCCUGGGGAGUACGGCCGCAAGGCUA
rnacentral:rRNA from 1 species